rnacentral:RNase_MRP_RNA from 1 species
GGCCCCUGGACGAAGAAUUGUUACUCGAAGCCUACUCAAGGAUCACCUCGUAACGAUGUGGUCUUAUUAAUGCUUUGGGGAAAGUCUCCCACCCAACACUCGCGGAAACGUAACGGGUCUCUCCAAGGAAUCCACCCGUUGAGACAUUGUCUGGCGUGUUCUUGGUAUCUCUCAUUUCUUGCUGGACCCAGUUAGAUCGAGAUCUGUUGUCCAUCUCCUCGUUUGUGGCUGUCAAUGUGUGUGUUGUCAAGGGCGUGUGCUAGUGGCGGGCCACUGUGGUGUUGAAAUAUUGCCUAUGGAUAGUGUGGUUUCUCGUUUUUAUAGACGAGAGGAUUAAGUGUUGACCCUUUGCAGCUUGGACCCUCGUGUAUCCUUGGUUUGACACUUGCGUUGUGUUCCUCUUGAACCCUUUGUGAUGCUUUCAAAAGUGUCAACAGCGUAUAUUCAGUGCCUUGUAAACUAUGGAAUGACGACUUUGUUGUGGUUUCCCCGGCUGAAUUGAGCUGAUCUCUCACAUUAUCAUUAAUAUGGGGUUUUUUUUUUCAUCUGCCACUGCUGGCUCUGUCCUCACCCCGUUAUAAAGACCUCUCACGUUUCAGUCCUGAGAUGUGAAUAGGCUGUUCUCGUAUUCUUACAGGUGUUUAUAUAAAGGCUGGAUUGAAUACUGACACGUUUUCCUGUUCAUGUCUCUGGUCUUCACCUUCCCUCCAAUGGUUGGUUGAAAUUUGUUCGGUAUUCGUGGUUGCUUGCAACCUAGACGAUAGUUAUAACAAUUGGUCUCUCUUCUUGUCAACGGAGAGUUCAAACCCAAUGGAGCUUACUCUCGUUUCUAAUGGGGC